UACGUAGGGAGCAAGCGUUGUCCGGAAUCAUUGGGCGUAAAGCGCGCGUAGGUGGCUUCAUAAGUCCGUUGUGAAAGUCAAAGGCUCAACCUUUGAAAGCCGAUGGAUACUGUGGAGCUAGAGUACGGAAGAGGCGAGUGGAAUUCCUGGUGUAGCGGUGGAAUGCGCAGAUAUCAGGAGGAACACCAAUAGCGAAGGCAGCUCGCUGGGACGUUACUGACACUGAGGGACGAAAGCUAGGGGAGCGAAUGGG
rnacentral:rRNA from 1 species